UACGGAGGGUGCAAGCGUUAUCCGGAUUCACUGGGGUUAAAGGGUGCGUAGGUGGGCUGGUAAGUCAGUGGUGAAAUCUCCGGGCUUAACUCGGAAACUGCCAUUGAUACUAUCAGUCUUGAAUACCGUGGAGGUCAGUAGAAUAUGUCAUGUAGCGGUGAAAUGCUUAGAUAUGACAUAGAAUACCAAUUGCGAAGGCAGCUGGCUACACGAAUAUUGACACUCAGGCACGAAAGCGUGGGGAUCAAACAGG
rnacentral:rRNA from 1 species